rnacentral:rRNA from 1 species
UGAACGACUCUCGGCAACGGAUAUCUCGGCUCUUGCAUCGAUGAAGWACGUAGCGAAAUGCGAUACUUGGUGUGAAUUGCAGAAUCCCGUGAACCAUCGAGUCUUUGAACGCAAGUUGCGCCCGAGGCCUUCUGGUCGAGGGCACGUCUGCYUGGGCGUCACGC